UCGUAGGCGGUUUGUCGCGUCUGCUGUGAAAACCCGAGGCUCAACCUCGGGCCUGCAGUGGGUACGGGCAGACUAGAGUGCGGUAGGGGAGAUUGGAAUUCCUGGUGUAGCGGUGGAAUGCGCAGAUAUCAGGAGGAACACCGAUGGCGAAGGCAGAUCUCUGGGCCGUAACUGACGCUGAGGAGCGAAAGCGUGGGGAGCGAACAGGAUUAGAUACCCUGGUAGUCCACGCCGUAAACGUUGGGAACUAGAUGUGGGGGCCAUUCCACGGCUUCCGUGUCGCAGCUAACGCAUUAAGUUCCCCGCCUGGGGAGUACGGCCGCAAGGCUAAAACUCAAAGGAAUUGACGGGGGCCCGCACAAGCGGCGGAGCAUGCGGAUUAAUUCGAUGCAACGCGAAGAACCUUACCAAGGCUUGACAUAUACGAGAACGCUGCAGAAAUGUAGAACUCUUUGGACACUCGUAUACAGGUGGUGCAUGGUUGUCGUCAGCUCGUGUCGUGAGAUGUUGGGUUAAGUCCCGCAACGAGCGCAACCCUCGUUCUAUGUUGCCAGCACGUAAUGGUGGGAACUCAUAGGAGACUGCCGGGGUCAACUCGGAGGAAGGUGGGGAUGACGUCAAAUCAUCAUGCCCCUUAUGUCUUGGGCUUCACGCAUGCUACAAUGGCCGGUACAAAGGGCUGCAAUACCGCAAGGUGGAGCGAAUCCCAAAAAGCCGGUCUCAGUUCGGAUUGAGGUCUGCAACUCGACCUCAUGAAGUCGGAGUCGCUAGUAAUCGUGGAUCAGCAACGCCACGGUGAAUACGUUCCCGGGCCUUGUACACACCGCCCGUCAAGUCAUGAAAGUCGGUAACACCCGAAGCCAGUGGCCCAACCGCAGGGAGGGAGC
rnacentral:rRNA from 1 species